GCUUGUGAACACACAUGGGUGAGUGAGCUUAGCUUUAUCCAGCCUUUAGCACUAUUCCAGCAAUAUCAUGGUGGGGGACACCAGAAACGGGCCCCACACAUAGGGGAAUCGAACCCGUGUCUUCAACAUGAGAAGCGGACGCUUGAACUAGUA